UAUCUAAUUAAAAACAAUAAUUUCUCAAUCAAUAUUAAUAAGAACUACAUGUGCAUGGAUUGCCAGUUGGAUUGAUGUUUGUUUUAAGAAGAAAUUUCUCUCAACUAAGAUAUCCACUCGAGAAAGGUUAAUAUCGAACUUAUAAGGUGUUAAGCUGCAAUUACAAUAAAAGUGCUUGCUAUGGAAUCACCGGUGCUGAUCAUUAUUGUCAACUGUUACUUAAAAUCCAGAUGAACCAACCUUUACUUCCUAUUCAAAUAAGUUUAGAAGAAACCUAUAUAAGCAAUAAAACCAGACCAAGAAUGCUUGAUUACAAACGAUGAACUCAUUUCAUUUGCAAGUUAUGCCAUGACAUAAAUGCAUUAAAUUAGGAAGAUUUGUAUUAGAUGAAUAUUAACUUCUGUUGAUAAGAACAUUUGAUUGGUGGAAUCCAGAUUCUGUGAAUGUACAUGUAAUUGAUUGACAAGUACACAUUUGACAAGGUAAAUUAAUUUUAUUUAACAAAGUAGUGCAAAUCUAGAAACAGAC